GCCCGGGCGGAGCGGCCGUC
rnacentral:snRNA from 1 species